AACGCGAAGAACCUUACCUGGGCUCGAAGCACAGUGGACCGGGGUAGAAAUAUCCCUUUUCGCAAGAACUGCUGUGGAGGUGCUGCAUGGCUGUCGUCAGCUCGUGUCGUGAGAUGUUGGGUUAAGUCCCGCAACGAGCGCAACCCUUAUCGUUAGUUGCCAGCGGGUCAAGCCGGGCACUCUAGCGAAACCGCCUCGGAUAACGGGGAGGAAGGUGGGGACGACGUCAAGUCAUCAUGCCCCUUAUGUCCUGGGCUACACACGUGUUACAAUGGCUGGGACAAUGUGAUGCAAUCUCGCGAGAGUGAGCGAAUCACCAAACCCAGUCUCAGUUCGGAUCGUAGGCUGCAACUCGCCUGCGUGAAGUCGGAAUCGCUAGUAACCGCCAAUCAGCACGUGGCGGUGAAUACGUUCCCGGGCCUUGUACACACCGCUGUA
rnacentral:rRNA from 1 species